rnacentral:rRNA from 1 species
GAUGAACGCUGGCGGCGUGCUUUACACAUGCAAGUCGAACGGAAAGGCCCAAGCUUGCUUGGGUACUCGAGUGGCGAACGGGUGAGUAACACGUGGGUGAUCUGCCCUGCACUUCGGGAUAAGCCUGGGAAACUGGGUCUAAUACCGGAUAGGACCACAUUUUGGAUGGUGUGGUGGAAAGUUUUUCGGUGUGGGAUGAGCUCGCGGCCUAUCAGCUUGUUGGUGGGGUAAUGGCCUACCAAGGCGUCGACGGGUAGCCGGCCUGAGAGGGUGUACGGCCACAUUGGGACUGAGAUACGGCCCAGACUCCUACGGGAGGCAGCAGUGGGGAAUAUUGAACAAUGGGCGCAAGCCUGAUGCAGCGACGCCGCGUGGGGGAUGACGGCCUUCGGGUUGUAAACUCCUUUCGCUAGGGACGAAGCGUUAUGUGACGGUACCUGGAGAAGAAGCACCGGCUAACUACGUG